AGCAACACUAUUUUUGCAUAUUCCUCCUCUGGAGCUCCUCUAACCGUACAUACCCCAUUCAUACCGAAAUCCGUUUUUUUUCUUGACCGCCAAAGUAAUCGGAAUCGAUAACUGAUUUUGGACGACCUUUACCAAAUCCAUCCCGAGGUGAUCUACCACAUCGAUUGAUUUCAUCAUAACCUCGAUAAGCCCAGGCCCUUGAUGGAGCCUCAUUGCAAAAAACUAAGUUAAGUUCAAAAAUAAUUGUUCGCAAAUGUUCCCUGUUUUAAUUUAAUUUAAUUUUAUUUAUUUGCCGAGAUGUACAUAUAUUUCAAGUUACUGUAAACAACAAAAAUAGCGGUCGUAUAUCAAAACGUUAUCGGUAUGUGUAUCAUCAAAAAUAUCAAGCAUUACCAAGAAUGAUAGAAACAAGAUUGCGCAAUGCGCAUGUUUGCUUUCAGUCAGCUGUUCUUGCUGACGUCACGGUUGACUUAUUAUUCGCCCGCGCCUUUGAAUGUGAAAGAAAUUUGCAGUUUGAAAUGGGUUUAAGUUCGCGGAGUCUAACGAAGUUGCUACCUAGCGCUUUUCUCACGUUAACCAGAUUAACUCCUGCAGAGGCUAAUGAACGGCAGAAAAGGAUGGAGUCUUGUUUAAACCACUGUUUCUUAUCCUAAUUGCAAUAUUUUUCAACGUGUGUCAGUUGAUCUAUUCUGACCCA